rnacentral:rRNA from 1 species
UGAGUAACCUGCCCUUAACUCUGGGAUAAGCCUGGGAAACUGGGUCUAAUACCGGAUAUGACUCCUCAUCGCAUGGUGGGGGGUGGAAAGCUUUAUUGUGGUUUGGAUGGACUCGCGGCCUAUCAGCUUGUUGGUGAGGUAAUGGCUCACCAAGGCGACGACGGGUAGCCGGCCUGAGAGGGUGACCGGCCACACUGGGACUGAGACACGGCCCAGACCUCCGUACGGGAGGCAG